rnacentral:sRNA from 1 species
ACAACAAGUCCCCAGGGACAGCUAAGCACUCCAGUGUCUAGGGGCUGUGGGAAACUGGAAAGAAACAAUCCAGUGUAAAUAUGACUUCCAAGCUGGCUGUUGCUCUACUGCUCUCUUGGCAGUUGCAUGCUUUCUGUAGCACUGUGUGAAGUGUGAAGCUUAUUCAUGAAGAGACCUCUGCCUGAACAUACAGCAAAUGUAAGAAGGUUGUGCAGAUAGUCUGAAGGACCAGCAGAGAGAAGAGAUUCCAUCUUCCAGAGGUUGCCACUGUCUGCCUCCCCACUUGUCCCCAUCCACAGUCAUCUUUUUUUGUAUAUAUAAUGACACAUUAGUUGUCUAGUUCUUCAUAGUUAAUGUGGUUUAAUUCUGACAUCAUUUCUUUUGCCAUGAAAUUUACACCUUAGUGUUAUUCUCACUGAAAAUUGCCUUUGAGUUCGAUAAACUUUUAUCCCAGUGAUAUUGACUGUUUUAAAUUAACAGAUUUAUCACCAUUUCUGAGCUAUGUAGAGCCUUAAUUGAAAAAGUAUCUUUGAUUAUUUUUUCAUAUUUUGGCCACAUACCUAUAAUAACGGAACAUUUACAAUACUUUUUAGUGGAGAAUUUUUUAAGUAGAAUUUCAAUAAUUAAUGUUUGAUGGAGUUUGGAAGUUACCGUAUUUUGAAGUAUCGUUUAACAUUUUUCUCUCA